UGAGUAACACGUGGGUGAUCUGCCCUGCACUUUGGGAUAAGCCUGGGAAACUGGGUCUAAUACCGAAUAUGACCAUGCACUUCCUGGUGUGUGGUGGAAAGCUUUUGCGGUGUGGGAUGGGCCCGCGGCCUAUCAGCUUGUUGGUGGGGUAAUGGCCUACCAAGGCGACGACGGGUAGCCGGCCUGAGAGGGUGACCGGCCACACUGGGACUGAGAUACGGCCCAGACUCCUACGGGAGGCAGCAGUGGGGAAUAUUGCACAAUGGGCGCAAGCCUGAUGCAGCGACGCCGCGUGAGGGAUGACGGCCUUCGGGUUGUAAACCUCUUUCAGCACAGACGAAGCGCAAGUGACGGUAUGUGCAGAAGAAGGACCGGCCAACUACGUGCCAGCAGCCGCGGUAAUACGUAGGGUCCGAGCGUUGUCCGGAAUUACUGGGCGUAAAGAGCUCGUAGGUGGUUUGUCG
rnacentral:rRNA from 1 species